rnacentral:rRNA from 1 species
GACGAACGCUGGCGGCGUGCUUAACACAUGCAAGUCGAACGGUGAAGCGCCUUCCUUUUUGGUGGGUGUGGAUGAGUGGCGAACGGGUGAGUAACACGUUAGUAACCUGCCCCCUUCUUCUGGAUAACCGCAUGAAAGUGUUGCUAACAGGGAAUAUUUUGGACCGGUUGGUUCAUGGGUUUGGGAAGGUUUUGGUUUCGUUGGGGGAUGGGUCCGCGCCUUAUCAGCUUGUUGGUGGGGUAAUGGCCUACCAAGGCGGUGAGGAGUAGCCGGCCUGAGAGGGUGGGCGGUAAUAGUGGGGAUGAGAGACGGCGCAGACUACUACAGGAGGCAGCAGGGGAGAAUAUGGAAUGAGGGGAGGAAGGCUGAUGCAGCGACGCGGCGUGAGGGAUGGAGGCCGUCGGGUUGUGAACUGCUUUCGGGAGUGAAGAAGGCUGGCAGCGUUUGUGGGUGGGUUGACGGUAGCUGGAUAAGAAGCGCCGGCUAACUACGUG